AUUGUGAUUAUUUCUCUCUUAUUUACUUCUGAUUUUUGCUCAAGCUUUGGUGGCCAGCAUUGCUGUAGCAACUCCAGCGAUUCCAACGGUGAGAGCAAUGCUUCCUCCAUACUUGGCUCCAAACUCAGCAAAGUUGACGCAGGAAUCCAUGGCGGCAUAGCCCUCCGCGUAGAUUUCCUUCCCGACGAUGUUGUAGAUGGCGCGAAGUGGAGCGAGCACGGCCUGGUAUGCGUGUGGGAGGUACUCAGUUGCGCCAAUGGCAUCAAAGAGGGAGUCCAGGAACCACUCGCUGUGAGAGGAAGCCUCCACGUUGUUAACCAUGAUGUUGCCGGAGAGAGUGAAUGGGUUGUAGAGACCCAGCUU
rnacentral:lncRNA from 1 species